ensembl:miRNA Mir3080 microRNA 3080
GGUUUGAGGAUCUGAAACACCUGUCCUUGGAUCGCGGCCCUGUAGCCAUCCUCGGGCAAAGCGUGUGACAUCUCUGUGCC